AGAUGACUGAUCCAGUGAUUUCAGUCAGUGCUCUGCAGUGAGGGAUUGUGGGACACGGAGGAAGCGCUCGUGACUUCAUCUGUGAAAAGAUGAAGUCUUUGAAUGAUCUGUGGUGAUCCCGAUGGCACACAGACACGCCCAGCGUCACUCGAGCGCAUCACACAUCAGACACGAUCAUAUUUGAGAAGAAUUCGCUCGAAUGAACUCAGAUCUCAUCAUUCAGUCGGUUUACUGGAAGAACACCUGAACAUGAACACCUCAGGAAAAGUUCAGUCAUGAGCGUUUAGAGGAAGUGCAGACGUCUGAUGCAAACACUCAUUUAGAUGAAAUGCCUACUGAAGAAAGAAGCUGACAAACACUUUCAUGACUGAAAAAUCACGUGCAUAUGAGUGUUUCCUUCAGAUUCUUGAAGGGAAAGUUCACCCACACAUAAAUGUAGUCAUCACUUCCUCACCCUCAAGUUGUUCCAAACCUGUAUGAGUUUCUUUCUUCUGAUGAACACACAAAAAAAGAUACGGUUCAUGGCUCUCAUUGACUUCCAUAGUAAUAAAAAUAAUACAGGUGAGUAAAUGAUGACAGAAUUUUCAUUUUUGGAUGAAAAUCCCUUUAAAGCGAGUCCUGAAAUCCUCAACAGAUGACAUACAUUUUAUAUCUGUUCAUGUUUCUCAUGCUCCAAACACUACAGUGACUUGAGGGGAAGACUGUAAAACUGUUUUGCUUGGAGUCCAGGAGGAAUCAGCGUGACUGGACUUUUCUUUAAUGGGUUUAUCAGGCUGAUCUGAGAGCAGCGGUGACGUGAUGUGAGAUCUUUUGUUUCGCUCUGGGUAUUUAAGGAAAGGUGUCAGAGCAGCCAUUGAGUGUAUUAAAACAGUGUGUGAUGCAUCUCUUCCUCUUAGAGACAUCUUUGAGCAAUUAAUGUUAUGUAUUUGUUAUUUUUGAAUUGGCUUCUAUGUGAUUGGCACGAUACAUUUGUACCUGAGAGAUAAAAUAAAAAUAUAUUAACAGCAACAGAAAGAACUGGCCUCCACAGCGUUUGGCGACCUUUAGGGUGUGUUUUGAGCAGUUCCCUCCUGUGAAGAGCACUACACUGCCUCUGCCUCCUGUGUUAAACCAGAACAUGAUUCUGGAGGUUUGAUCAUUACACCUGAGGAUUCACUACACCUGAAAGUGGAACCAAAGCAGUCGACUACGUGCGGAGAAGAUUACAUCAACAUCUUUCAAGCAAGUCUGUUCUUGUUAAAGGCUUUGAAAACAGUUCAAACACAAGAAAUAAAAAGAGGCAUACAACUUGAA